rnacentral:rRNA from 1 species
AACGAACGCUGGCGGCAUGCCUAACACAUGCAAGUCGAACGAGACCUUCGGGUCUAGUGGCGCACGGGUGCGUAACGCGUGGGAACCUGCCCUUAGGUUCGGAAUAACUCCCCGAAAGGGGUGCUAAUACCGGAUAAUGUCUUCGGACCAACGAUUUAUCGCCUUUGGAUGGGCCCGCGUUGGAUUAGCUAGUUGGUAGGGUAAAAGCCUACCAAGGCGACGAUCCAUAGCUGGUCUGAGAGGAUGAUCAGCCACACUGGGACUGAGACACGGCCCAGACUCCUACGGGAGGCAGCAGUGGGGAAUAUUGGACAAUGGGCGAAAGCCUGAUCCAGCAAUGCCGCGUGAGUGAUGAAGGCCUUAGGGUUGUAAAGCUCUUUUACCCGGGAUGAUAAUGACAGUACCGGGAGAAUAAGCUCCGGCUAACUACGUG